GGAGAAGGCCUUCGGGUUGUUGCUAUCAGCCAGGACGCUGAGCUGCUUGUGUUCCAACAGAAACCAUCCACAGCUCGGACUUGCAAAUCUGAUUAACCCGAGACUAGGAGUACAGUAGUCUGAGGACCGAGCCUGCCUUACUUAGUUCAGAGCCUAGAAAGAGCAUGCCUUGUCCCCUCUUUUUUACUAGGAAGAAAAUGUCUGUUUUGUUCCCAAAUCUACGUUGACCAUUACUUAGAGCAAGUCACAGAGAUGGGAGGCUCUUUCUGUUUAGCCAGGCUCCGACUCAGCGGAAACGCAGGACUAACCAACCUCCACCAACCCUAUCUGCAAACUCAACACACAGGGUAUAAUCUCUAAACCAAGGCAAAGUCUGAUAACCACACACCCUAAGGGCCAUCCGCCGCAGGCUGCUACGUGUAUUCCAUUCCGGUGGCAUCUUCCACACACGUUAUUUUGGUAGCUGAGAGUAAGAUGCGAAGCUUCCUGUGAGGCUUGAGAAAUUUACAGAAGAAAUCGUUUUCCUGUAGCUUCUCUGCCACAUUAACUUCUUUCCCUUGAUAGUCCUUACAGAGGGACUCAAAAUCCUUAGGGUCCAUCUUAACCCUUCUUUCUAGUAAUCAAAUCCGUAUUCAUAAAAAUCCAGAUUCAUAAAAGGAUUCAUAAAGGCUUAGCCCAGGCUUGGGUGCUCUGGAUGAAGGAACAAACACAUUACAAGAUAUUCUAAACGAAAAGCAGCAUCUUUGCCUAAGCAUAUGAACAACAAAACCUAUCGUAAAACUCUCAAGCGGACAAAACCACCUCCCCAGAAUAAAGCAGGUAUACAGUUCCCCUAGAAGAGUUGCUGUGGGUGCCCUGGCUUUAGUGGCUCACGGGGGACACACAGAGUCUACCACUCCCUCUUGAUGGUGGCAAAGAGAAAGGACAGCUUCAUAGGGACUUCCCUGCUUCGAGCUUUACGGCAGGCCUGAAGGAAGGCAGGGAGGACUCUAAACUGUUUAUAAGAGAGCGAAGGCAAACGCUGCAAGAUUACUUGGCGAGCAGGACCACAGGGAAAGCUGGAAUCUGCAGACUGUAAACGGCAGAGCUGCUUAAAACCGAAAGUCAAACGGCUUGGAGCAGGCAUGGACCUUGGCAGCUUGACCUAUAUUUCCUCUAAUCUCACAAGUUCUGACAAGGGAAAGAAUACGGAUGCCAUUUCAUGGGCAAGAACCUGAGGCUCGGAGCAGAAACCACGUGCUCAAGAUGACGGGUUGUUAAGGGGCAGCACCAGGAGUCUGUACUGCUGCACGUAGUAGGCCAUCUUCUAAAAUAAAUCUCCACGACAGAA